UGCUGCGCUGCUACAAUCGGCAGUGCCGCUACUGCCAAUUCUCGCGGCGCGGCGCC
rnacentral:precursor_RNA from 1 species